rnacentral:rRNA from 1 species
CCAAUAGCGUAUAUUAAAGUUGUUGCAGUUAAAAAGCUCGUAGUUGAAUUUCGGGGUUAGUAGGUUGGUCAUGCCUCCGGUAUGUACUGGUCUCACUGAUUCUUCCUUCCUGAUGAACCGUAAUGCCAUUAAUUUGGUGUUUCGGGGAAUUUGGACUGUUACUUUGAAAAAAUUAGAGUGUUUAAAGCAGGCUAACGCUUGAAUACAUUAGCAUGGAAUAAUGAAAUAGGACGUUCGAUCCUAUCUUGUUGGUUUCUAGGAUUGACGUAAUGAUUAAUAGGGAUAGUUGGGGGCAUUAGUAUUCAAUUGUCAGAGGUGAAAUUCUUGGAUUUAUUGAAGACUAUCUACUGCGAAAGCAUUUGCCAAGGAUGUUUUCAUUAAUCAAGAACGAAAGUUAGGGGAUCGAAGACGAUCAGAUACCGUCGUAGUCUUAACCAUAAACUAUGCCGACUAGGGAUCGGAUGAUGUUAAUUUUUUAAUGACUCAUUCGGCGCCUUACG